rnacentral:sRNA from 1 species
CUGGGCAGGGCCGGCGCGGCCCGGUCAUGGAGUCCUACGACAUCAUCGCCAACCAGCCUGUGGUCAUCGACAACGGUUCGGGGGUGAUUAAAGCUGGCUUUGCAGGAGACCAGAUUCCCAAAUACUGUUUCCCAAACUAUGUCGGGCGGCCGAAGCACAUGCGGGUGAUGGCUGGAGCCCUGGAGGGGGACCUCUUCAUCGGACCAAAAGCAGAGGAGCACCGGGGGCUGCUGACCAUCCGCUACCCCAUGGAGCACGGCGUGGUGCGAGACUGGAACGACAUGGAACGCAUCUGGCAGUACGUCUACUCCAAGGACCAGCUGCAGACCUUCUCGGAGGAGCAUCCUGUGCUCCUCACGGAGGCCCCGCUCAACCCGAGUAAGAACCGGGAGAAGGCGGCAGAGGUGUUCUUUGAGACCUUCAACGUGCCGGCCCUGUUCAUCUCCAUGCAGGCUGUGCUCAGUCUGUGAGUGCCCCCUAAGCCUGGCCUCCCUGAGUCCUGUCCUCCCUGUGCCGUCCUGCUUGCCAUGACCAGGGUCUGACUUCCCUGGAAAAACAGCCCCUUGAUGACUGUUCCUCUAGGGAGUCCCUCGUGUCCUCUCUUCAGACUAGAUAAUGCAGACGUGCCAGGGUUCCUCCCCUGGGUGAGGAGGUCCCCGUGCCUCAGUGGCUGAGGUGAGGGGAUGCUGACCUGGUGACAGGUACGCAACGGGACGCACGACAGGAGUGGUUCUAGACUCAGGGGACGGGGUCACUCAUGCUGUGCCCAUCUAUGAGGGCUUUGCCAUGCCUCACUCCAUCAUGCGGGUGGACAUUGCCGGCCGCGACGUCUCCCGCUACCUCCGACUCCUGCUGCGCAAGGAAGGGGUUGACUUCCAUACCUCGGCUGAGUUUGAGGUUGUCCGGACAAUCAAAGAGCGAGCGUGCUACCUGUCCAUCAACCCACAGAAGGAUGAGGCUCUGGAGACGGAGAAGGUGCAGUACACGUUGCCGGACGGCAGCACGCUCGAUGUGGGGCCUGCACGAUUCCGGGCCCCCGAGCUGCUGUUCCAGCCGGACCUUGUGGGGGAUGAGAGUGAGGGGCUCCACGAGGUGGUGGCCUUCGCCAUACACAAGUCCGACAUGGACCUGCGCCGGACGCUGUUCGCCAA